CAUUUAAGAUGUAUAUUCCAUUGCUCUUUCUCAAUUUCGAUUAUCUUCGCAUAAAUUGGCGAUAGAAACGGGAAGGUAUAACAGCAUUGAUAGACAAUAUCGUUUAUGUUAUCACUGUAAUAUGGGUAUGGUAGAAAAUGAAUACCAUUUCUUACUUGUUUGUCCGAAAUACAGAAAUCUAAGAACGCGAUUUUUUAAUCCUUAUUACUGUAGAUUGCCAAACACAACCAAAUUUAUCGAAUUAUUAACAUGUGAAUCUAGAAAGAAAAUGGUUAAUGUAGCCAAAUAUAUAUAUUUUGCUUUUCAGCAACGUAAUUCAAACGAUGUUAAUUAAUGAUCGUAUAAUAUCUAGCAUGUUUAUCGUAGAAGUCCAGUAUUGUUUACCAUACAAACACUAGCGUUGGUUACAAAAUGCAAUUCCUCUCGUUAACUAUACAAUUUCUAGCGUCGUUUACCAUGUAAUCCUUAGAAUUGUUUUACCGUAAUCUC
rnacentral:lncRNA from 1 species